rnacentral:rRNA from 1 species
GACGAACGCUGGCGGCGUGCUUAACACAUGCAAGUCGAGCGGAGCGGCGAACGGGUGAGUAACGCGUGAGUAACUGCCCCCCUCUCUGGGAUAACAGUUGGAAACGGCUGCUAAUACCGGAUAGUGGGGGAUGACUCGCGUCAGAUCAGCUUGUUGGUGGGGUAGUGGCAUACCAAGGCGACGAAGGGAAGCCGGCCUGGGAGGGCGACCGGCCACAUUGGGCGGCGGUACGGCGCAAACUCCAACGGGGGGAAGUAGUGGGGAAUAGUGCACAAUGGUGGAACCCCUGAUGCAGCAACGCCGCGUGCGGGAUGACGGUCCUCGGGUUGUAAACCGCUUUCAGCUAGGACGCGGUAGUGGCAGAAGAAGCACCGGCUAACUACGUGCCAGCAGCCGCGGUAAUAC